CAGCAAAGCCCCACAAAACUUAAAAACCAAAAGCAUUCUAUUAAAAGCCUCUGUUGCAUCUUUUUCUUUCUCACAAAGUAAUGGAGAUCAGCAGAAAGGAACGUACCAUGGAAGGAGAGGAGAAUGAGGAGAUGGAUUUGACACCAUUCUGGCUCCAAUCCACCGCCGAUCACCGCCGCCGCCGCGGUGUCUCCUCCUUCUUCCUCAGUUCUGGCUUGGUGGUUUUUCUGCUGCUGGUAAUGGCUGCUGCUUUCUUGGCUUUUGUUCUGCCUUCGACCCUGUCAUUCAGUGCUCAGAUCUUUAGGCCAAACAGUGUUAAAAAAAGUUGGGAUUCUUUGAAUGUAGUUCUUGUUUUGGUUGCUGUUGUGUUUGGAUUUCUUAGUAGGAAUAAGAACGAGGAGAGGUAUGGAUACUAUGAUGGAUUUCAGAAUCAAGAGAUUCGUGGUAAAGAAAGUGAGACGCAGAAAUCGAGUAGUGGUAAGUGGGAAUUUGAUCGAACAGAUGGUGGGCAAAGUUUGAAUCUUUCGAAUUCGAGAGAAUGGUUUGGAUUUUCAGAUAGCUUUGAGAGGAAGAAUUCUUUCUUGAGAAGAAAUAGCAUUUCUUACCCUGAUCUGCGUGAAUCCUCGUCCGUUGAUCUUUGGGAUUACGGUGGAGAUUAUCGGCGGAGAUUUUACGAUGAUUACUAUGCUGAUCCGGGCCGGGUCACCGAUUCGGGUCGGGUGCACCGCCGCCACCGGAGCUUGGAAGAAGUUGAGAUACAGAGCCGGUCACCGCCACCGCCACCGCCACCGCCGACUAAGACUAUAAUUGUUGACACAUUGGUGACGAAAUCCAAUGAAGCUGAAAACAUUCCGCCGCCGCCUACAGCGGCGCCGGUGGCGGAGCCUUCGGAUGAGAAGCCGAAGGGAAAAGGUAGAAAGGAGAGAUCUAAAAGGAAACCGAGCAAGGAUUUGGAACAGAUGCGUUCGACUAUGGUGUCAACACCUCCGCCGUCACCGCCGCCGCCGCCGCCGCAGCAGCAGAAGAGCAGCAAAAGCGACAGGAAAAGAGGCGGAGCGACGGGAAGUGCAACGAAGGAGUUUCUGAAUUCUCUUUACCAUAAGAAGAAGAAAAAGCAGAGGCAAAAAAGCGUCGAUAAUUUGGAUUCUCUUCUCCACGAAGCUCCGCCUCCAUUAAGCUUCCAUCUCUCGCCGCCGACGGCGCAAUCGCCGUCGCCGUCGUCGUCGUCGUCUCCGUCGCAGUCGGUGCUGCAAAACCUAUUCUCAUCCAAGAAACAGAAACGGAAGAGAACCAUAAAGGUCACACUCGCGCCUCACCCAAAACCAAACCCUAAUUCCCAAAUCGGACAAUCGAGCACUCAAAAUCCGCAGAAACCGAUCAAAUUACGCACCUUCGAGAAAUUGGAAGAGACCUCCAACAGCGGCGGCGAAUCUCCGCUCAACCGCAUUCCGCCGCCUCCGCCUCCGCCGCCGCCGGGGUUCUUCAAAACCCCUGCCUGGAAGUUCGUGGUGCAAGGCGACUACGUCAGAGUGAACAGCACGGCCAGCUCCCGGAGCGGGUCGCCCGACACGGAAGAUCUGGAUUCCGACUUCACGCCGUCCGCCGCGUUCGGCGGCAAUACGACGCCGUUCCAUCCAUCGCCGCUGUUCUGCGCCAGCCCCGACGUCAACACCAAAGCCGAGAGCUUCAUUACCAGUUUCCGCGCCAAAUUGAAGCUGGAGAAGAUCCAUUCAAUGAAUAAACGCGAGCCGGGCUUAUCCACUCUCGGCCCGAGACAGAUUUGAACACAUUGCUGGACAGAAAUCAACAUGGAAUUGGAUAAGGAUUUCGAUUGCUUUCAUUCAUAGAAAUGCAAGUUUUGAAUAAUCCCCUGUUAUGGGCUGAAUCAACCUUGCUCGAGUGCCUCGAUCCCGAUUCGACUGAAGAACACGACUGGGCUGCUGAACUGAAACCACAUCACGACAACAUUAUUUCUAUCACAUCAAAUCAGCACGGCGGCAUCGUGAGCUUGCACUUUCCGGGGACUUGCUUGGCGAGGCCGCGGUCGAUCUGAGGCGGCAAACGAG